rnacentral:lncRNA from 1 species
GGGAGUGAAAAGGAAGUCGGUAUUUGCUUCUCCAGCAAGGUCACGGAUCACCUGACCAAAUCCUUUAACAGCUGGGAAGCCAGUGCUGCUGUGCUGAACUCCGGAGCCUGAGCCGAGCAGUCAGCUCUGGUCCAGCAGCCAGCACCUUGCUUUCCGCAGGGAGUCGACUCCUCUCACUCCAGGCUAUGGCAGGGGGAGGAUGCCAAGGCAAGUUUCAGGUGUACGGUAUAGUGAUUCAACAAUUCUAAACAUUACCAAGCACUCAUCCUGGUAAGUGUGCUCUUACCCCUCUUUAUCUAUUUUGCCCAUCCCCCCACCCAUCUCCCCUCUG